AAUAUGACGUAACCGGACAUCCCGAGUCCCGACAUUUUCGUACCGGUUUUUGGUUUUAUUCCUGGUACAGUUUGUAUUGUCCCCAAGCGAUCCUUUCCUGUCCUCUUUCAUAUAAAAACAACCGUAUUUAGGGUUGAAAGGCUUAAAAAGUGUACGUAAGUUAAAUGGGCUAUGGCCUAGAUUUCUGUAACUCUCUAUGUUGUGAUUGGGCC